CAUCCUGCCCUGGGCCUCCCCUGGCUCUGAGGGAAUGUUCAAGGGGGCCCUGCUCAUUCAGUCUGUUCUGAGUUGGACUGCACUCAGUAUUCCUCCCUCUGUAGUUUGUGAGUGCUCAGACCAGGUGAGAGAAAUGACAGGGUUCAUUUUGUUUUUUUCUCUUUUUAGGACACAAGAAGUUGGGAAUCCAAUGUGUCAAUAUGUAUGUCUUCCAGAGAGCCAAUGUGCACAUGGUGCUGUGUCUUGGUCUAGGUUCUGUUGCCAUAACAAAAAUACCUGAAGGAUUUCAUUAUGAAAACCAAACCUAUAGUAUUUGAGAAGAAAAUAUUGGCCUACGUCUUGCUGACCAUGAAUGUGGCAAUGAUGUCUGGAAAACACUGCUGAAAGCAGAGUUUAGAGAAGACAAACUGGAUGGUCAGGAAGUCAUCUCCUUUUGCCUCAAAAAACAUGAAUGAUGUACAACAGGAAGAAGGAGGUAGCAGAAUAAGUGGAAAAAGUUUCUAUUAUCUGGAAACCUUCCUACGCCCACAAUUUUUGAAGAAGCUGUUUCCAUAACUUUAGAAUUGUGCUCCAAUCAAGAUGGGAUGCGCUGGGGAUGUGACUCAAGGGGUACCGCGCUCGCCUGGCAUGCAUGCGGCCCAGGUUCAAUCCUCAGCACCACAUACAAACAAAGAAGCUGUGUCCGCCGAAAACUGAAAAAUAAAUAUUUAAAAUUAAGAAAAAAAAAAAGAUGGGUACACAUGUAUCACUGCAGUGUGCUGACUUUAUAACGUCUUUGGAUAAAAAUGCAAAAUGGUA